CUCUCCUCUCGAUUCCUCCUCCCCUGACCUCUUCUCUUCCCCAACCCCCUCCUCCACCCCCUCCUCCUCUCUCCCCACCCUCUCCUACCCCCUCACCCCCCUGUGUCCCAAACUAUGGCACAAUAGGCCCCAGCUCCUCUGUCUAUUCUGUGUCCAGCAGGAGCCCGCGGUGAUUCAUUGCUCCAAUUAGGGGCUCUGCAGCCCGUGGCUCGGGCUGUCUGAAGGGUCUCCUUUGGGACCCACGAAACCCAUCAGCCGCUGCCGCUGAUCUUUAAGAAAAGGUCAAGCCGGACGCGCUAGUGCCAGAAUCAUCAGACCAUCUGGCAGGAUGGUGCUUUCCAUUAUUCCAGCACCCUGGAGAUGCACGGGAAGUUCAAGACCAGCCUGGGCUGCUUCGUGAAAACUGUCUCAAAAAGUGAGAACACAGCAGGGAUCAGGAUCCCUCUCUACGUGUUCCAGACUGGCUUACUGGCCUGCAACUCGCUGUGUAACCCAUGCUGGCCUUGAACUCACGACAGGACUCUUCCUUCAGCUUCCUGACUUAACAAAUGUAAACCACCAUGUCUAGCACGGACUCCACUGUUACAGUGACACCAGGAAACUCAUUUGAUGCCUUGCAGUGGCCUGGCCCUACUGCUGUACAGAGUCCCAACUCUUCCACCCCCCGGGUUGGCUCAGUAUGGCCCUACUCAGCCCCAGCACUGAGUCCUGAAGGAGGACUUGGCCGCCCCCAGCCCAGUGAGUCAGCCUCUUGGGUAGUCACCAUCUCUGCGGAGCCUCACCACACUUGCACGCCUCGCCUCCAGUCAGACUGCAGUUUCCUCAAAGGCCGGAAGCUCCAUUCAGGCGUCUUUGCUGUACCCAGCCCCUGUGGUGAAGAAGGAGCCCAAGGCCAGCUAAAGCACCGUGCAGUGCACUUCACACCAGCCUGUCCUUGUCCCCUAUCCCUGCAGAGCUCUGCCCCAGCCACCCACUCAGCCCCGUGCUUCAUCAUGACCUGACAUCACCACCUGACACCGGUGAGAGGCACUCUGAUCCCCCUCACCAGAAUCCCACCGUAUACCCAGAAGCAGCCACGCCAUCUUGGGACUCUCCCUUCUUUUUCCAGUAUCUUUGUGAGUACAGCUGUUCUCCUAUGCUAUUUCCCAGGGAUAGCCACCAAUUGGGCACUCAAAGACAGCUGGGUAAAGGCACUCUGACUUCUAGCUCAGUCCCACCUGGCCAGCUGAGAGACCUUUUCCAGCUGAGGGAAUCCCUGGGCCUUCCAACUUUCCAGUACAGAACCUGACUCAAAGAACAGUAAGUCCAAUUAAGACAUCCUAUCUGUGGCCUGCUACAGGUUAACCCAGUAAAUUUCCAUCUCAUUCCCCUUGGUGAUUUCAGAGCCACCAAAGUGUCCCCUGGACCUGUGGGCCAGGAGGGAGGUGGCUAUGUUUUAGAAGCUUCCCCCAGACAAUAGCAGGCUGAUCUUGAAACACCCGUCUACCUUCACCAAGGUGGGGCUAGCUGUGUGCCACCGGCUUUGGGGAGGUACAGCCACUUGUUAGCCAGGUAACCAAUCCGUGGGACCAAUCCUCUGCUCAGGGUCAUAUCGCUGUCUCAGACUGGCCCAUACUGCUUGGGUCCACUGUGACCAAUAACAGGAGGUCAAGGCCAUGAGCAUCUCACAAGUGGUAGAGACCUUGAACCCACCAGCCAUUGUCACAAUGCUCCCAGGGCUGGGUCGAGGGGGGCGGGGCAGGAGGGCAGGGCUGUGGUGUGUGCCGAGAAAAUGUGCUCCCAGUGCUGGGACACACAGAAGAACCCAAUGGCCUCCUGUACCCUUAGAACAGACCUCAGGCCUGACUCCUGCCCUGGCCAAGUCCCCACCCCCACCCCUGGGGCCCUCUGAGGCUUUCCCAUGGAAUCUCUGGGUGGGUUUGGAUUCAGGCCACAAGGAACAUGUAUCGGAAGCUCACUAACAGGAAAUGCUGUGUGGCCUUGGAUAGCUUUCCAGGCUGUGGCCUUCAGCCGGCUGUGCUCUGGGUAUUGCAGCCAUUGAAGCCUUCAAUGGGAUGGGAGCGGGAAGGGCCUUGGUCCCCAGGGCUGGCAGUGACUCUUUUUCCCUCCUUGGCUGGCUGCCCCUAAACACCCUGAGCAGAGCCCAUUUAUCUAGAGGCUCUGGGUAGACACAGCAUCUUCAAAUCCUGUUUUGGGCCGUGAAUGUCCAGGCUUCAGCUAAAGGGCAGAGAGAGAGAGAGAGAGACAGACUUGACCAUCCCAGGAGAGGUGGGGGUAGAGUGGGGGGGGGGAGUAGAGGGACCCUUUUGGCAGCUCUCUCCUCUUGCCAUGUCCUUAGUACAAGGAGUGGUGGCCCAGAGCCAUGAGGAGGGUACAACAGGAGGCUCAGGUGAAGAGUCACAGCUGGAUCGGGCGGUAGCUCUGCUCAUAUUUUCUGUGCUGGCUCCAAAUGCAGAGGAACCCACUGGCGGAGGAGAUAGCAACCCACC
ensembl:lincRNA A330074K22Rik RIKEN cDNA A330074K22 gene